UACAGAGGGUGCAAGCGUUGUUCGGAAUUAUUGGGCGUAAAGCGCGUGUAGGCGGCUUUGCAAGUCGGGUGUGAAAGCCCUCAGCUCAACUGAGGAAGUGCGCCCGAAACUGCAGAGCUUGAAUACCGGAGAGGAUGGCGGAAUUCCCAAGUAGAGGUGAAAUUCGUGAGAUAUGGGGAGGAACACCGGUGGCGAAGGCGGCCUGACUGGGCAGUGGCUGACGCUGCGGCGCGACGAGCGUGGGGAGCAAAGCAGG
rnacentral:rRNA from 1 species